rnacentral:lncRNA from 1 species
CCGGGACAGAAAGUCUCCUCCAGCAAUGUCACCCACAGCGCUGAGGGCACUGGCACAGGGAGGAGAAAGCCAACAGCGCCAGCAUGCUGCCCACUGCCCUCACCCACCAUGAGCCCAUGGGAAAGUCCCCUGCCCGACUGGGGUUACUGGGAGCAAGGCCCACUCAGACCAGCACCACCCUGCCCUUGCCGCCAGUACGACACCGCUGUUCCCGCACAGCCCCCGCUCCCCUGGGGCUGAGCCCACCAGGCUCCUUCUCUCCUCACAUGUCCCAGCUGCUGGGAGCUGGCUGCAGGGCACGGGGACUCCCCCCAGCCACGGCACCGCCCGCUGCUCCCCGUCCGGUGUCCCCUGGAUGCCCUCGGUGCUGGAGCGAGUUAAAGGCAAGCUGGGAGCGCCCUCGAAAGCUCUGCUGCGUGCUCCCCAGGGCUCGCCCUGCUUCUGGCACGGCCGCGGCGCUGCUCUGCCUGCACUUCCACCUGCUUGGCCCCCCCGGCUGGGUCCUGCACCCCCCCACGGGUGCUCCCGGGGCUGACACUGCCAGGCUGUGUGUGCCCUGCCUUCCCCUUGGCUGCCAGUCCGGGGACCCCCACACCCCGCGGGCUCCUUCUUCCUUCUGCUGCCCCAACCUUGCCUGUCUUGGCUGGCUUUCCCUCCCUUGGCCUUUCUCUUGUCCCGCUUGCACUCUGCUGCCUGUUUCCUCUUGUUUCCCUUCCCUCAGUCCUGCUGCCCGGGUGCCCAGAUGUGUUCAGCCAAGAGACUUUGCAGCCCAUGUCCCGUUGCCAGGCUGUCUGUCUCGCUCUCCCUUCCCCCUGCUUAAAGCACUUCUGACACCAUGGGAUUAUUUUUCUUUUUCCCCUUGUCUUUGUAGUUUUUGGCUCCCAAGGCCCUUGAUUUCCUUUGGAGUUUGGGAGGAGAGACGUGAGGAGGAGGGAGGGGGGGGAGGCUGCCUUUCCUAGGGCCUUCGUCAGAGCGAAGCGGUCAGGAAGAGNNNNNNNNNNNNNNNNNNNNNNNNNNNNNNNNNNNNNNNNNNNNNNNNNNGGCCAUGCCA